GUAGGUGGCAAGCGUUGUCCGGAAUUAUUGGGCGUAAAGCGCGCGCAGGCGGUUCUUUAAGUCUGAUGUGAAAGCCACGGGCUCAACCGUGGAGGGUCAUUGGAAACUGGAGAACUUGAGUACAGAAGAGGAAAGCGGAAUUCCACGUGUAGCGGUGAAAUGCGUAGAGAUGUGGAGGAACACCAGUGGCGAAGGCGGCUUUCUGGUCUGUAACUGACGCUGAGGCGCGAAAGCGUGGGGAGCAAACAGGAUUAGAUACCCUGGUAGUCCACGCCGUAAACGAUGAGUGCUAAGUGUUAGGGGGUUUCCGCCCCUUAGUGCUGCAGCUAACGCAUUAAGCACUCCGCCUGGGGAGUACGGCCGCAAAGGCUG
rnacentral:rRNA from 1 species